rnacentral:misc_RNA from 1 species
AAAUGCGAUAAUUAAUGUGAAUUGCAGAAUUCAGUGAAUCAUCGAGUCUUUGAACGCACCUUGCGCCCCCUGGUAUUCCGGGGGGCAUGCCUGUCCGAGCGUCAUUGCUGCCCUCAAGCACGGCUUGUGUGUUGGGCUUCCGUCCCUGGCAACGGGGACGGGCCCAAAAGGCAGUGGCGGCACCAUGUCUGGUCCUCGAGCGUAUGGGGCUUUGUCACCCGCUCCCGUAGGUCCAGCUGGCAGCUAGCCUCGCAACCAAUCUUUUUAACCAGGUUGACCUCGGAUCAGGUAGGGAUACCCGCUGAACUUAAGC